UCGGUCAGUCGAUACGAGCGCACCCUAUCCUUAGUUGCCAGCACGUAAUGGUGGGGACUCUAGGGAAACUGCCCGGGAUAACCGGAAGGAAGGUGGGGUCGACGUCAAGUCAGUAUGUCCCUUACGUUCAGGGCUACACACGUAAUACAAUGGGGAGUACAGAGGGUAGCAAAACUGCGGAGUUGAGCCAAUCCCAAAAAACUUCCCCAAGUUCGGAUUGCAGUCUGCAACUCGACUGCAUGAAGCAGGAAUCGCUAGUAAUCGCGCAUCAGCAUGGCGCGGUGAAUACGUUCCCGGGUCUUGUACACACCGCCCGUCACGCCAUGGAAGCCGGUAGCACCCAACGUCAGUGUCCUAACCUUCGGGAAGGAGCUGCUUAAGGUGAGAUUGGUAACUGGGGCGAAGUCGUAACAAGGUAGCCGUACCGGAAGGUGCGGCUGGAUUACCUCCUUUCA
rnacentral:rRNA from 1 species